rnacentral:rRNA from 1 species
UGGGGAAUAUUGGACAAUGGGCGCAAGCCUGAUCCAGCAAUGCCGCGUGAGUGAUGAAGGCCUUAGGGUUGUAAAGCUCUUUCGCACGCGACGAUGAUGACGGUAGCGUGAGAAGAAGCCCCGGCUAACUUCGUGCCAGCAGCCGCGGUAAUACGAAGGGGGCUAGCGUUGUUCGGAAUUACUAGGCGUAAAGGGCGCGUAGGCGGCCUGUUUAGUCAGAAGUGAAAGCCCCGGGCUCAACCUGGGAAUAGCUUUUGAUACUGGCAGGCUUGAGUUCCGGAGAGGAUGGUGGAAUUCCCAGUGUAGAGGCGAAAUUCGUAGAUAUUGGGAAGAACACCGGUGGCGAAGGCGGCCAUCUGGACGGCCACUGACGCUGAGGCGCGAAAGCGUGGGGAGCAAACA